rnacentral:rRNA from 1 species
GAUGAACGCUGGCGGCGUGCCUAAUACAUGCAAGUCGAGCGAACAGAUGAGGAGCUUGCUCCUCUGACGUUAGCGGCGGACGGGUGAGUAACACGUGGAUAACCUACCUAUAAGACUGGGAUAACUUCGGGAAACCGGAGCUAAUACCGGAUAAUAUAUUGAACCGCAUGGUUCAAUAGUGAAAGACGGCUUUGCUGUCACUUAUAGAUGGUUCCGCGCCGCAUUAGCUAGUUGGUAAGGUAACGGCUUACCAAGGCGACGAUGCGUAGCCGACCUGAGAGGGUGAUCAGCCACACUGGAACUGAGACACGGUCCAGACUCCUAUGGGAGGCAGCAGUAGGGAAUCUUGCGCAAUGGGCGAAAGCCUGACGGAGCAACGCCGCGUGAGUGAUGAAGGUCUUCGGAUCGUAAAACUCUGUUAUUAGGGAAGAACAAAUGUGUAAGUAACUAUGCACGUCUUGACGGUACCUAAUCAGAAAGCCACGGCUAACUACGUG